UAUUCCCUUUUUUUUGGGGGGUUUUUUUCGUCAGAUUGAACGCUGGCGGCAGGCCUAACACAUGCAAGUCGAGCGGUAGCACAGGGAGCUUGCUCCUGGGUGACGAGCGGCGGACGGGUGAGUAAUGUCUGGGAAACUGCCUGAUGGAGGGGGAUAACUACUGGAAACGGUAGCUAAUACCGCAUAACGUCUACGGACCAAAGUGGGGGACCUUCGGGCCUCAUGCCAUCAGAUGUGCCCAGAUGGGAUUAGCUAGUAGGUGGGGUAAUGGCUCACCUAGGCGACGAUCCCUAGCUGGUCUGAGAGGAUGACCAGCCACACUGGAACUGAGACACGGUCCAGACUCCUACGGGAGGCAGCAGUGGGGAAUAUUGCACAAUGGGCGCAAGCCUGAUGCAGCCAUGCCGCGUGUGUGAAGAAGGCCUUCGGGUUGUAAAGCACUUUCAGCGAGGAGGAAGGGUAGUGUGUUAAUAGCACAUUGCAUUGACGUUACUCGCAGAAGAAGCACCGGCUAACUCCGUGCCAGCAGCCGCGGUAAUACGGAGGGUGCAAGCGUUAAUCGGAAUUACUGGGCGUAAAGCGCACGCAGGCGGUUUGUUAAGUCAGAUGUGAAAUCCCCGCGCUUAACGUGGGAACUGCAUUUGAAACUGGCAAGCUAGAGUCUUGUAGAGGGGGGUAGAAUUCCAGGUGUAGCGGUGAAAUGCGUAGAGAUCUGGAGGAAUACCGGUGGCGAAGGCGGCCCCCUGGGACAAAGACUGACGCUCAGGGAAAGCGCC
rnacentral:rRNA from 1 species